AUCUCUCUUUGUCAAGCAGUCAGUGUGCCACUACGGAAUAUUCCCCAUGUUCUGCUAUUAGCUGCACUUUAGAUACAGAUGUGGUGAAAUUCGUAGUCUUCGUCCUACAUCUCGAAAAAUUAAUAUUUUUUCAUGAAACUUGUUUUGAUGUAUUCCUUACAUCGUUAGAAUUAGUCGUACAGAGCCGGAUUUUGCAAUUUGGCUCUUAAAAAUUUAUAAUAAAAAUAUAAUAUGAAUUCGAGAGCAACUACACCUGAUCCACAAUCAGCUGUAUGUUGUUUGUCAAUAUUAGAAUUUUUAUUUUGAUCAUUUUUUCAAAAAAACGCUCUGUACGUCUAAAAAGACGAUGCUGCUGAAUACGAAUAUCAUUAUUAGAAUCCGAUUUUCUCUUUAUUUUGGCUGUAGGACGUAGACUACGAAUUCGUAAUUCACGGCUUCCCGCGAGAGGUCUCCACCGUCACUCCUGUCGACCCUUAAGACACCAUAAUCAAAGUGACUGUCGAUUUUGUUUGAACAUAAGACAAGCGAUAAGAAACAGGUCUAAUUCUCUGCAAGCGAUUCUAUCUGUAACUCGAUCAAAUAAUCUGAGGCUAUCUGAGAUGAGAAGGACUUUUGAUGCUUUUGAUGCUUAUCUGGCCAAGAUAUUGGUAGAGGUGUUAAAAUGCCAACGCCCGGCAUAGCUGGUCCAUCAGAUACACUGGCUGCGCUGGGACAGUGUCGUAGUAGACAGUCCAUAGUCAGUGCUGGGCAACAAGUGGUCGCUCCAAUCUCUUUCUUUAAAUUCCGAUCCUACGCAAGACUGAUCUUCAGGGCCAUUUUACAAUACGUCGCAAAUGCUCCGUCGCCAAUUGCGAAGGAUAGCAACUACUAGUUGAAAAGUGCUAUUUCCGGUUGCGCUUUUGGCAAUUGGGAUUACCAAAAAAAGUUAAAAGUUGGCCAAUUCUCUUUCUAUACAUACGUAUUUUAUAUACGGGGUGUAACUGAAAAAACAGGAGCACACCAUCAGAUAUAGGAUAACAAUCCAAAUCGAAAAGUCCUGAACCAUUUUUUGAUUUGACAGAGAGAAGAAUGAGAGUCGCCACGCUGCCGUUUUUCGUGUAACGCUUUUUCUAGAUCGUACACUAGCGUCACGUACAUCCAUUUUACGCCGCCUGGAACUACAUGGCCACAUCCACUUUCGGAGCCGACAAAACAGCCGAUUGGUUCAUGUCCGCGCUACAUCCACUUUUCGAUUUUGGUUCAUAUCCGUGCUACAUCCACUUUUCGAUAUUGUCGAUGCUGGUAGUACACUGAUCGUUUGACAAAGAGAGAUGAUGCGCUGUCUUUGUCUCUCUUUCAUCGCGUAUGUGUGUAGCGUCCGUGAAGGCACACACCGACACGUUGAGCACACGGAUGCGAUUGUUGGGAGAUGUCAGACAAGGAGCGACAAUCGCGUGCUAUCCUUGUUCCUCUAGCGUAUUGCUUACGGCCGAAAUACGGCCUGAAAAUGCUUUCUGGCCUCUCGUGACAGCAGUAAUGCAACAAGGCUAAUAAGCGCCCACUU